rnacentral:rRNA from 1 species
AGCAGCCGCGGUAAUUCCAGCUCCAAUAGCGUAUAUUAAAGUUGUUGCAGUUAAAAAGCUCGUAGUUGAAUUUCGGGGUUCUACCGUUGGUCGGGCUUUGUCUGUACUGGCGUGUAGAAUUUCUACCUUCUGGGGAACCAUCAUGUUAUUAAUUUAACGUGGUGGGAAACCAGGACCUUUACCUUGAAGAAAUUAGAGUGUUCAAAGCAGGCUUAUGUCUGAAUACAUUAGCAUGGAAUAAUAAAAUAGGACGGUGGUCCUGUUUUGUUGGUUUCUGAAUCACCGUAAUGAUUAAUAGGGAUAGUUGGGGGCAUUAGUAUUCAAUUGUCAGAGGUGAAAUUCUUGGAUUUAUUGAAGACUAACUUCUGCGAAAGCAUUUGCCAAGGAUGUUUUCAUUAAUCAAGAACGAAAGUUAGGGGAUCGAAGACGAUCAGAUACCGUCGUAGUCUUAACCAUAAACUAUGCCGACUAGGGAUCGGACGAUGUUAAUUUUUAAUGACUCAUUC